GACGAACGCUGGCGGCGUGCUUAACACAUGCAAGUCGAACGGAAAGGCCCUGCUUUUGUGGGGUGCUCGAGUGGCGAACGGGUGAGUAACACGUGAGUAACCUGCCCUUGACUUUGGGAUAACUUCAGGAAACUGGGGCUAAUACCGGAUAGGAGCUCCUGCUGCAUGGUGGGGGUUGGAAAGUUUCGGCGGUUGGGGAUGGACUCGCGGCUUAUCAGCUUGUUGGUGGGGUAGUGGCUUACCAAGGCUUUGACGGGUAGCCGGCCUGAGAGUGUGACCGGACACAUUGGGACUGAGAUACGGCACAGACUCCUACGGGAGGCAGCAGUGGGGAAUAUUGCACAAUGGGCGGAAGCCUGAUGCAGCAACGCCGCGUGCGGGAUGACGGCCUUCGGGUUGUAAACCGCUUUCGCCUGUGACGAAGCGUGAGUGACGGUAAUGUGUAAAGAAGCACCGGCUAACUACGUG
rnacentral:rRNA from 1 species